GUAUGAAGCUGACGUGCUCCUGAUUCCAAGGAGGAGGGAGGGAGCUUCAUGUUGAGCUGUUUUCCGGGCACGGUCUUUUUGUGGGGACCCUACUACAGGGCUCGCAUAGACACUGGUGUAUUUAAGAUGCUACUAAGAGGUUACCUGGCCAUCAAAUGCAAUCUGGAAGCAGGUGCUCCUCCUUCUGACCCAUCAGAACAUCAGAGGUCACCUGAUGCUGCUUUGUGGUGAUGGGGCCAUUUUAUCAUCUCACAUCAUCAUAUAAAGGAUGAAUAAUCCUGAGGUCCAGCACAGCCAGAUCACUGAAAUCUUUCUGAAAGGAACUCAUUACAUAUUUCUACAUCAACAAAACCCAUAAUCCGUGAUAAUCUCCUUUUCACCAGGACGGAAGGGGAAAGGAGGAAAGGAAAA